rnacentral:tRNA from 1 species
CGGGAAGUAGCUCAGCUUGGUAGAGCACUUGGUUUGGGACCAAGGGGUCGCAGGUUCGAAUCCUGUCUUYCSGA